rnacentral:rRNA from 1 species
GACGUAGGUGGCGAACGUUAUCCGGAAUUAUUGGGCGUAAAGAGCUCGUAGGCGGCUUGGCAAAUCAGGUGUGAAACCUCCAGGCUCAACCUAAAAACACCACUCGAUACUACUAUAGCUAGAGUCCGGUAGGGGACCACGGAAUUCCUGGUGUAGCGGUGAAAUGCGCAGAUAUCAGGAGGAACACCGGUGGCGAAGGCGGUGGUCUGGGCCGGCACUGACGCUGAGAAACGAAAACAUAAAUAACAAACAAG